rnacentral:tRNA from 1 species
UUGGGGGUAGUUUAUUAUUAGAAUGGGGCCUUUGGGUGGUUCUGGGGGUCUUCGGGUCUCCCCAAA